AACGCGAAGAACCUUACCAGGUCUUGACAUCUGAAUGACCGGUGCAGAGAUGUGCCUUCUCUUCGGAACAUUCAAGACAGGUGGUGCAUGGUUGUCGUCAGCUCGUGUCGUGAGAUGUUGGGUUAAGUCCCGCAACGAGCGCAACCCUUAUGCUUAGUUGCCAGCACGUAACGGUGGGCACUCUAAGCAGACUGCCGGUGACAAACCGGAGGAAGGUGGGGAUGACGUCAAAUCAUCAUGCCCCUUAUGACCUGGGCUACACACGUACUACAAUGGUCGGUACAACGGGAAGCAAAGCCGCGAGGUGGAGCCAAUCCUUAAAAGCCGAUCUCAGUUCGGAUUGCAGGCUGCAACUCGCCUGCAUGAAGUCGGAAUUGCUAGUAAUCGCGGAUCAGCAUGCCGCGGUGAAUACGUUCCCGGGCCUUGUACACACCG
rnacentral:rRNA from 1 species